UACAGAGGAGCCAAGCGUUGUCCGGAUUGACUGGGCGUAAAGCGCACGCAGGCGGACGCGCGCGUGGGGUGUGAAAUCUGGCCGCUUAACGGCCAGGCGCCAUCCCAUACGGCGCAACUCGAGCCAUGCAGAGGUCCACGGAAUUGCCGGUGUAGUGGUGAAAUGCGUAGAGAUCGGCAGGAACACCCAGGGGGGAAACCAUGGACUGGGGCAUGUGCUGACGCUCAGGUGCGAAAGCGUGGGGAGCGAACCGG
rnacentral:rRNA from 1 species